AACGAACGCUGGCGGCAUGCCUAACACAUGCAAGUCGAACGAGACCUUCGGGUCUAGUGGCGCACGGGUGCGUAACGCGUGGGAACCUGCCCUUAGGUUCGGAAUAACUCCCCGAAAGGGGUGCUAAUACCGGAUAAUGUCUUCGGACCAAAGAUUUAUCGCCUUUGGAUGGGCCCGCGUUGGAUUGGCUAGUUGGUAGGGUAAAAGCCUACCAAGGCGACGAUCCAUAGCUGGUCUGAGAGGAUGAUCAGCCACACUGGGACUGAGACACGGCCCAGACUACUACGGGAGGCAGCAGUGGGGAAUAUUGGAAAAUGGGCGAAAGCCUGAUCAAGCAAUGCCGCGUGAGUGAUGAAGGCCUUAGGGUUGUAAAGCUCUUUUACCCGGGAUGAUAAUGACAGUAACGGGAGAAUAAGCUCCGGCUAACUCCGUG
rnacentral:rRNA from 1 species